rnacentral:sRNA from 1 species
AUGGACCACUCGUCCGCUCCGGCUCUGAAUGCACCGUCCACAACUGCCUGACGACGGCUCGCCACGUUCUGCCAGCG